AUUGAACGCUAGCGGGAUGCCUUACACAUGCAAGUCGAACGCCAUUUCGAACGGGUAAGUGAUGUAUCGUAACUUACCCAGUAGCGGGGUAUACCUACGAGAAAGCGUAGCUAAUACCGCAUACUUUUGGAGCGUCCGCUAUCGGAUUAGCUGGUGGGUGAGGUAACGGCUCACCAAGGCGACGAUCCGUAGCGGGUUUGAGAGGACGACCAGCCACACUGGGACUGAGACACGGCCCAGACUCCUACGGGAGGCAGCAGUGGGGAAUUUUGGACAAUGGGGGAAACUCUGAUCGAGCAAUCCCGCGUGUGCGAAGAAGGUUUUCGGGUUGUAAAGCACUGUUGGUAGGGAAGCGGUAUCUGCAGAAGAAGCAACGGCUAACUACGUGCCAGCAGCCGCGGUAAUUC
rnacentral:rRNA from 1 species